rnacentral:rRNA from 1 species
UACAGAGGGUGCAAGCGUUAUCCGGAAUCACUGGGUUUAAAGGGUGCGUAGGCGGGAUUAUAAGUCAGAGGUGAAAUCUCGUCGCUUAACGACGGAAUUGCCUUUGAUACUGUUUUUCUCGAAAUUUGUUGAGGUUGGCGGAAUGAGACAUGUAGCGGCGAAAUGCUUAGAUAUGUCUUAGAACACCGAUUGCGAAGGCAGCUGACUGGACAAUAUUUGACGCUGAGGCACGAAAGCGUGGGGAUCAAACAGG